rnacentral:lncRNA from 1 species
AUGAAUGAGGGCAUAGAGCCGUUUCUGGGGAACGUAAGUAGUGCAAGAGUAAUUUUGCUUGCAAUGCUCCCUUGUGAGCUCAACACGCCUAUUUCAGAACCUUAUGGGAAUUGCAAGAAGGACAGACGGAACAGCAAGGCAGCCAGCGAGGUUGAGCGAGCGUGGUCCCCAGGUGAGCUAUGCUUCACCGCCUGCGAACUGGCUAGGAUGGCAGGCAGCCUGACAGAGCUCAGAUUACUUUAACUCCGGGUCAUUGAUCUUCACCUCCACUCCCACCUCCUCCCUCAGCUUUCACUUUUCAAAGUCUAAGACACAUUUUGAAGUGUCGUCACAUUCCUUUCUUUCUUAUAAUUCCCUGCAUUAGCUGAGUUUUCCAAUUUAUAACUUCUGAAUUUCUUUCCGUAGCCUACUUUUUUUUGUUAAAGCUUUAUUUAUUUUGCACUUUGGAUUCUAAAUUCUUCCUGUCUGGGAGUUUCCCCAUAAGUCUGUUUACAGUGCGAUGCAUUCUACACUAUGUGUUGGAUAAAUAGUGGUUACUCAAGAAAGAUUAUUGGGCACGUCAGUCAUAUUUGUAAAGUUUUUUAAGAGGGCUGAACGUGGCUGAUACCAGUACAUAUUUUUUUGAUGGCUCUCGGAUGUUGCGUAUAUUACUGUAUUUUCUACUGUUGUGGAAGAAUUAGUCCCUUGGAUAUACUCCAAGUUUGCCUUUACCAUUCUCUGCACUUUACUCAUUUUCUUUUUAAAAACAUUUUGCCCCCCAAUUAUAAAAGUAACGCAUGCUCAAUAUGGAACACAGAAAGGUGAUAAAAACAAAAAAGUCACGCAUAACCUCGCCAGAUUUCAUUUCAUGCCUUUUCUUUGCAUAUGACAAUGUCCCUCUGAAUCUCACGCAGCACUUUAGAAAUACCCACGAGGUCUCUCUAAAUCCAAGACACGGUUAAGAUUAGACGUUAUUCCCCAAGUUCACACGGAAAUCGAAGAAUCGCAGUAGGAUAAGAAAGCUCGCUGCCGGCAAAGGAACCUGGGUGCCUGGGUUCUCUGCAGAGAGACUGCUUGUGGGUAAAACACACACAGCCUUUUCUGCAGCCACCUGGGAACGGAACGGGUGGGGGCGGAGCUUCCGAUGAUUGAGGGCAGGGGGAGAGCACUGCAGCGCUGUCACCAAUCAGGGCUUUGCUUUGU